GACGAACGCUGGCGGCGUGCUUAACACAUGCAAGUCGAACGGAAAGGCCCUGCUUUUGUGGGGUGCUCGAGUGGCGAACGGGUGAGUAACACGUGAGUAACCUGCCCUUGACUUUGGGAUAACUUCAGGAAACUGGGGCUAAUACCGGAUAGGAGCUCCUGCUGCAUGGUGGGGGUUGGAAAGUUUCGGCGGUUGGGGAUGGACUCGCGGCUUAUCAGCUUGUUGGUGGGGUAGUGGCUUACCAAGGCUUUGACGGGUAGCCGGCCUGAGAGGGUGACCAGCGACAUUGGGACUGAGAUACGGCGCAGACGCCUACGGGAGGCAGCAGUGGGGAAUAUUGCGCAAUGGGCGGAAGCCUGAUGCAGCAACGCCGCGUGCGGGAUGACGGCCUUCGGGGUGUAAACCGAUUUCGCCUGUGACGAAGCGUGAGUGACGGUAAUGGGUAAAGAAGCACCGGCUAACUACGUG
rnacentral:rRNA from 1 species